UGGGGAAUUUUGGACAAUGGGCGCAAGCCUGAUCCAGCCAUGCCGCGUGCGGGAAGAAGGCCUUCGGGUUGUAAACCGCUUUUGUCAGGGAAGAAAUCUUCUGAGUUAAUACCUCGGGAGGAUGACGGUACCUGAAGAAUAAGCACCGGCUAACUACGUGCCAGCAGCCGCGGUAAUACGUAGGGUGCAAGCGUUAAUCGGAAUUACUGGGCGUAAAGCGUGCGCAGGCGGUUUUUGUAAGACAGAGGUGAAAUCCCCGGGCUCAACCUGGGAACUGCCUUUGUGACUGCAAGGCUUGAGUGCGGCAGAGGGGGGAUGGAAUUCCGCGUGUAGCAGUGAAAUGCGUAGAUAUGCGGAGGAACACCGAUGGCG
rnacentral:rRNA from 1 species